AGAGUUUGAGCAUGGCUCAGAAUCAACGCUGGCGGCGUGCCUCAGACAUGCAAGUCGAACGAUUAAAGCCCUCUUCGGAGGGUGUAUAAAGUGGCGCACGGGUGAGUAACACGUAAGUAAUCUACCCUCGGGUGGGGAAUAACAACCGGAAACGGUUGCUAAUACCGCAUAAUGCAGCGGCUCCUUAUGGAGACAGUUGUUAAAGGAUUUAUUCGCCUGAGGAGGAGCUUGCGGCAAAUUAGCUAGUUGGUAAGGUAAUGGCUUACCAAGGCUACGAUCUGUAGCCGGUCUAAGAGGACGGUCGGUCACACUGACACUGAAUAACGGGUCAGACUCCUACGGGAGGCAGCAGUCGGGAAUUUUGGGCAAUGGGCGAAAGCCUGACCCAGCAACGCCGCGUGAAGGAUGAAGUAUUUCGGUAUGUAAACUUCGAAAGAAUAGGAAGAAUUAAUGACGGUACUAUUUAUAAGGUCCGGCUAACUACGUGCCAGCAGCCGCGGUAAUACGUAGGGACCAAGCGUUGUUCGGAUUUACUGGGCGUAAAGGGCGCGUAGGCGGCAUGACAAGUCACUUGUGAAAUCUCUGGGCUUAACUCAGAACGGCCAAGUGAUACUGUCGCGCUAGAGUGCAGAAAGGGCAAUCGGAAUUCUUGGUGUAGCGGUGGAAUGCGUAGAUAUCAAGAGGAACACCUGAGGCGA
rnacentral:rRNA from 1 species